UCCGGUUGAUCCUGCCGGAGGUUACUGCUAUCGAGGUUCGACUAAGCCAUGCGAGUCGAAUGUAGCAAUACAUGGCGUACUGCUCAGUAACACGUGGACAACCUACCCUUAGGUCGGGGAUAAACCCGGGAAACUGGGUAUAAUACCCGAUAGUCCUCGGAUGCUGGAAUGCACCGAGGUCUAAAGCUCCGGCGCCUAAGGAUGGGUCUGCGGCCUAUCAGGUAGUAGUGGGUGUAGCGUACCUACUAGCCUACGACGGGUACGGGUUGUGAGAGCAAGAGCCUGGAGAUGGAUUCUGAGACACGAAUCCAGACUCUACGGGGUGCAGCAGGCGCGAAAACUUUACAAUGCUGGAAACAGCGAUAAGGGGACCUUGAGUGCCAGGUUACAAAUCUGGCUGUCGUGAUGCCUAAAAAGCAUUGCAUAGCAAGGGCCGGGCAGGACCGGUGCCAGCCGCCGCGGUAACACCGGCGGCUCGAGUGGUAACCGCUAUUAUUGGGUCUAAAGGGUCUGUAGCCGGCCGGAUAAGUCUUUUGGGAAAUCUGGCAGCUUAACUGUCAGGCUUUCAGAGGAUACUGUCUGGCUCGAGGCCGGGAGAGGUGAGAGGUACUUCAGGGGUAGGGGUGAAAUCUUGUAAUCCUUGAAGGACCACCAGUGGCGAAGGCGUCUCACCAGAACGGACCUGACGGCAAGGGAC
rnacentral:rRNA from 1 species